UACGAAGGGGGCUAGCGUUGCUCGGAAUCACUGGGCGUAAAGGGUGCGUGGGCGGGUCUUUAAGUCGAGGGUGAAAUCCUGGAGCUCAACUCCAGAACUGCCUUUGAUACUGAAGAUCUUGAGUUCGGGAGAGGUGAGUGGAACUGCGAGUGUAGAGGUGAAAUUCGUAGAUAUUCGCAAGAACACCAGUGGCGAAGGCGGCUCACUGGCCCGGUACUGACGCUGAGGUGCGAAAGCGUGGGGAGCAAACAGG
rnacentral:rRNA from 1 species